UACAGAGGUCCCAAGCGUUGUUCGGAUUCACUGGGCGUAAAGGGUGCGUAGGCGGUUUGAUAAGUCUGAUGUGAAAUCCCGCAGCUUAACUGCGGAACUGCAUUGGAAACUGUUUGACUAGAGGAAUGGAGGGGAGACUGGAAUACUUGGUGUAGCAGUGAAAUGCGUAGAUAUCAAGUGGAACACCAGUGGCGAAGGCGAGUCUCUGGACAUUUCCUGACGCUGAGGCACGAAAGCCAGGGGGAGCAAACGGG
rnacentral:rRNA from 1 species